rnacentral:rRNA from 1 species
UUUUCCAGGUGUGCCGAGCCAGCUGCUGAAAGCAUAUUUGCGAACUUCUCCCUCCUACUGACAGAGGACCCGGUGGAGGAACCCGACGUGGUCGACCUCGGCACCGUGUACCAGGAAGAUAGAACCAAGUUCCCUUCGAUAACUGGCAGCGAGGACGAGAAUGAUGAAGACAUAGACUGGGAUGACCACGUGCAUUUCCCUGCCGGGGAGAAGGAAAUCGACAUCUCGAAGAACCUCCGGGACAUCAUCCACCUGGAGAUCACACUGGACGCCUUCUGCAGCAGCACCUGCAAGGGCCUGUGCCUUGUCUGCGGUGCGAACCUCAACACGAGCAGCUGCAGCUGCGGCGCCGAGGAGUCGUCGCAAACCAACGACGCCAGGCAGCCAGGAACUCUCAAAGACCUGCUGAAGCCUAUGCAGAGAAGA